rnacentral:lncRNA from 1 species
CUGCUGAAUUACCUGCUCCGGCAUGCCAAGCCUAGAGGCGUCUGUAGCAACCCCUAUACGGAAUCAAUGCCCCCCGAACUCCCUGCUAUCAAUACCCAGGAAUUCGAGCCCCAAGAGGAACAACCUAACGAAUUGUAAGUGGGAGAGAAAGCUUCAGUCCUCGCGAACAAAAAGGGGGAGGGGGAGGGAAGUUGGGCAUAAGGAACAGUACUCACCGAAGGAAAAAACGGGACAAAUGUCGUAACUCGGCACCACCCACAGUCGGACCCACUUACCCCUCCCAAAGACAUCAGUCUUCGAGUGGCGAAUCCUGAAGGAAAUCUGGUCUGCUGUGCAAGUAACAUCACCAAAAAGCACCCCCUCACUCGCUGGCGACUAAGGCCCACCAGCUCCCCAAUACGCAUGGCCCCAAAGAAAGUCAGGUGGAACGGCUAACCAGCUAUAGUGAGGGUACCAGCCGUUGGGGACAUCCUUUUCUUCACGGCAAGUCGCUGUAUAGUGAUGGAGCUGCUUAUUCUCCUCUGCUGGAUCCAAGGUAGAAGUCAGGUACAGCUCUGAAAAGAGCUUAGUGAUUAUGCUGCAAAAUUCCCCUUUCAAGAACGAGACAAGGCUACGUUUUGAAGGGUCAAGAAGAACUAAAGCUUUAAUGACAGACACUCUCUUUUAUGUGAUUCUGCCCAUGCAAGGGAGACACCCACAUAAUUAACAGUACAGCCAAUAAACACAAUAUACAUUCCAUACAUCUCCUCCCCUUAGAUUACCACAUAACAUAAUUAAAAUGAACAUAUUUUUCCCCAAAGUUUGGAUGUACCCCAAAUACUUGGGGUCCAGGCAUAAAUCCGGUGUCCCCAGAUAGCUUUGUUCUGGGGGACAAAUAUAUCCAAAAUUCAGCCAAUUCGGUUCAGCCGUUCGGGAGAUAUGGGGCUUGAAUAUUUUGACCAACCGCACUGCCAAAAUAGCGAAAACAGUUCCAUGAAUCCUGGCCCUGCAGUCGGUCUUAGUUCGUGCGGAAAAAGUCCCAAAUGGCUGGCCAUGCGUAUAUAAUCUCACGUUCGCUGGAAUCCCCAUAAGCUGUUAAGUCUUUCUACCGAACGCCCUGUUGUUCGGUAGUUGUAGCACGAUUUCCCGCAGUUAUGGAGGUCUCAGCGGUGUUCGCCUAUUUGAGUGUCCGUUUUUAGUUCCAGACACUCGACGGCAAAACACCGCUGUUCAGGAGUUAAAAUGGCCGCGAACACGUGGAAGUUCCGAAAUGGCGGCCACCCAUACAGUUCGUAUAGUGUUUGUGCGUUUCUUUGUACGAAAAUCCCCAUAGAGCAAGGAGGUAAAUGGAUCAUAAUUAGGAAUCAAGGUGGCCUGUUAUUUGGUAGCAAGCAUUCGUAUGGCGAAUGCUUCCAAUGUCCCGAACUGAAUAGUAAUCCACAGUCUCCCUAUGCAGGUUAAGCUGUCCUCUUUGUUUCACCAGGGAAAAGGCCAACCGAAAUAGACUGGCAAACCCUAGUUAAAGAGUCACACAGACUGGCCAAGAGAGCGGCUGAGACAGGAUGCCUUGAGCCAGAGGUGUAAUUAGAAACCACGGGGCCUCUUCGUGAAAAUUGCCCUGGAUCCCCCCCGUACGUCGAGCCCCGCGAGAACACUCCCCGCCUUAAGCCCCUAAGGGCCUGGGAGACUAUAAAUGCCUUGGUAGCAUCCUCCCGUCCCCGCAACUUGAACAUGAAGCUGAGCCCUGCAAAGAAAUCACAGAGGGUGGCAACCCUGCAGCCUCCCACACCCCUCAGAGACGUAACAGACCCUGCAGGUGAGCGGGCGAAUCCUGGAAACUUACCAGGGGCCACUCCUGUCCCAUUCCCUCCUCACCUUACUAUAACAGGCCCAAGUUGCCGUAGAGACCGACCCAUGGACCAACUCCAUCAGUCUGCCAGAUCCAGCGAUAACAUCUCCACCGGGCACGGGACGCCCUCCACUUCGGCCUGUGGAGCCACUGCACGAAACACGUCCCACUGCAAACGAGAGAGAGCAUCGGCUAUUACAUUGCGAACCCCCGGAAUAUGCUCAGCCCUACAAGACACAUUAAGAUCCAAACAGGGCAGAACCAAGCGCCGCAGCAAGCGCACCACUGGGGGAGAAUAUGCGGCUGAUUGAUAGCCAGCACCACCCCCAGAUUGUUGCAAUGGGAAACCACCCACCUGUCCACGAGUUGGGGACCCCACACCUCCAAAGCCACCAGAAUGGGGAAGAGCUCCAGGAAAGCCAGAUUCCAUGUGAGCCCCGCCGCAUGCCAGCCUAUUGGCCAUGAGUUAGCACACCAUUUAGAGCCCAGGAUGGCCCCCCCAAAAAUACUGGAGGUCAGUAUUAGAGACCUCCGAGCCUGCCAGUACGUUCUACUGUUAUAGGAGGCCAAGAAGGAGUCCCAGACAGCCAGGUCAUCCUGCAACGGCCGAAUAAGCUGAAUAAAGUGCUGAGGUCAGGUGACCCUGGACGUCGCCGCUGCCAGACGCCUGUUAAAGAUUCGCCCCAUGGGCAAAAUCCGACAGGCGAAGUACAACUUACCCAGGAGAGACCGCAGGCAGCGCAGCUGAAUCUUAAGUCGCCCCAAAGCCAGCAACAC